UUGAUCAUGGCUCAGGAUGAACGUUGGCGGUGUGCCUAAUACAUGCAAGUCGAACGGAGUUAGUAGCAAUACUGGCUCAGUGGCGAACGGGUGAGUAACGCGUUGGUGAUCUGCCUUGAAGUGUGGAACAACGUUUCGAAAGGAACGCUAAUACCGCAUGUGCUCUCGAUUUUCAGAAAGUUGAGAGUAAAGGAUUUAUUCGCUUCAAGAGGAGCCUGCGUCCCAUCAGCUGGUUGGUAGGGUAACGGCCUACCAAGGCUAUGACGGGUAGGGGACCUGAGAGGGUGGCCCCCCACAAUGGAACUGAAACACGGUCCAUACACCUACGGGUGGCAGCAGUAGGGAAUAUUAGAAAUGGACGAAAGUCUGAUCUAGCAACACCGCGUGUGCGAAGAAGGCCUUCGGGUCGUAAAGCACUUUUUGGNAAGGAAUAGGAAGGAAUGUACUUCCAGAAUAAGUCUCGGCUAACUACGUGCCAGCA
rnacentral:rRNA from 1 species